rnacentral:rRNA from 1 species
CCAGCAGCCGCGGUAAUUCCAGCUCCAAUAGCGUAUAUUAAAGUUGUUGCAGUUAAAAAGCUCGUAGUUGAAUUUCGGGGUCAGUAGAUUGGUCGUGCCACUGGUAUGUACUGGUCUUACUGGCUCCUCCUUCCUGAUGAACCGUAAUACCAUUAAUUUGGCGUUGCGGGGAGACUGGACUGUUACUUUGAAAAAAUUAGAGUGUUUAAAGCAGGCUAACGCUUGGAUACAUUAGCAUGGAAUAAUGAAAUAGGACGUUCGAUCUUAUUUUGUUGGUUUCUAAGAUUGACGUAAUGAUUAAUAGGGAUAGUUGGGGGCAUUAGUAUUCAAUUGUCAGAGGUGAAAUUCUUGGAUUUAUUGAAGACUAACUACUGCGAAAGCAUUUGCCAAGGAUGUUUUCAUUAAUCAAGAACGAAAGUUAGGGGAUCGAAGACGAUCAGAUACCGUCGUAGUCUUACCAUAAACUAUGCCGACUAGGGAUCGGAUGAUGUUAAUUUUUUAAUGGCUCA